GUAAAAGCUGACGGUUUCAUUGAUUCUUUUAAUCGUUUCAUUGUUUCUUCUUUUAAUCUUUGCCUCACUUUACGUUUCCGUAAAUUAAAGCAUAUUGCUCAAUAAUCGGCCCUGUCGCUUCAAUUCCUUCAUAAAACAAGUUGUCUUUGGACUUCGACGUUACGGUCGUUUUUUUUCUUGUUUUUUUUUCACUCUGACGGGUGCAUCGCAUUCUGAGAUGGAUGCAGCAAAGUUAUUCUUCAAAGAGAUUGACGAUGCUGUCUCUACAUAUGAGAAAGCAGCAAGAGAGAUGAAAAGUGAAGUUGAGGGUCUUAAAAAAAGAGAUACAAGUCCUAGUUCCUUUAUUCGCAACCUUCUCUCUCAAGUGCAACACAUAAAGAAGGAGGUAAAAUGUGAAGUUGAAAGAAUGAGGGAGGAAGUAAAAGCAACUGAAGAACUAGUAAGAGUUGGGAGAGAAUGCAUUGUUAUUCCAACCAAUAUUUCAAAACAACUGUCUACUUAUCUGUCCAAGAAUGGAUUUGUAUCACCUGCUGAGGAUGAUGCACCAUCAGAGUCUGCAAUGAAAGGGAAUGACAUUGAAGUUAUUGAGCAAUCUCCUGAAGGCGAAAUGGAGGAAAUAUGUGAGAAAAAACAAAGCAAAAGAGUAAGAGAUGAAAAUGGAGCUCAAGAGGUGAAAUGUGAUGAUGAGUUGGAUGAAGAGCCAGCAGACUGCUCAUUGUCCUUCCUUCCUCAACUUGGAAAGUCAUCUUUGCAACCCAGGUCAGUGAAAUUUCAUUGGGAAUCAGAUGAAUCAGUGAACCUCUCUAAAAAUCUAAACUUUGACUUGGAAAAACCAUCAAACAAAGUACAAAAGCAGAAGAUUGUGGUUGAUCCAAUGCUCACACCUUCAACCCCAGAAUGUCUGAAAGAAUCCCAUCCUGUAAAAACGACUGCCCAUAAUUUUGAAGUCUCAUCGCUUGAACAAAAAGGUCACAUGGUGAUUCUCAAGCUUCUUCUUCACUUCAACAUUUGCAAUGACCAAGGUGGGUGGAUGCUCGCCAAAACGUCGACUUUACCUACGAGUAAGUCCAGCUUUUUAAAUUGUAAACUUUUACCGUUUUAUUUCGACUUGAUGAAUAAUAACAACUUGCAUCAAUAUAUGUUCAUGUGUUUAAUGUAUUGCUAAUGGCAAACCGCAUCUCCCUUUUUCCCCUGACUUUGUGUAUAAUUAUUAUUCGCUAUGUAAAUCCCUGCAUAUUUAAAUCUUGCUUCUCAAUAACUGAAUGAAAACUUCAACACCAAGGAAUUUAGACUUAUUAGACUUAUCAUAUGUAACCAUACAACACUUGUGUUGCUCUUCCUAUUAGUACGAUUCAUUACACAGCUAUAAUAGCACUCGGUGGAGUGCAUACCUCCACCAGACUAAAGAGUUUACGUUUUGUAUCCACUGAUAGGUCGGGUCCAGAUCCAGAUCUUCACGAACAUUGAAUCAAUUAGUCCUUGUCAUAUAACCAACCUGUUCACCAGGUUUUGCCAAAAUCCAUCCACAACGUUUUGAAAUAUCGUGCUGUACUGUGUAUCGUUUUUGUCCCCAUCUCUCAAUUGUGAAGAAUCACUUUGAAAUUCGAGUAUCUGGAUCCGGAUCUGGAUCUUCACCAAAAUCUACUCAAUUUGUGGUCCUCUCCUGUCCCUUUCCACCACCCCUCUCCUGUCCCUUUCCACCACCCCUCUCCUGUCCCUUUCCACCACUCCUCUCCUGUCCCUUUCCACCACCCCUCUCCUGUCCCUUUCCACCACCCCUCUCCUGUCCCUUUCCACCACCCCUCUCCUGUCCCUUUCCACCACCCCUCUCUUGUCCCUUUCCA
rnacentral:lncRNA from 1 species